rnacentral:lncRNA from 1 species
UCUUGCAGGGGUGAGAGCACUCUCAUAUGUGUGCUGUCCAGGAGCACGUGCAGGCUGACCUGGAGAAGGACAGGCAGGAGGCCACCGAGGAAGGAGAAAGGAUGCUCUGGGAGACAGGGAAGGCUCUUGGGAAAACAGAGGACAGAGGACUCUUCCACCACGCCCACCAUAGGCUGUGUCUCCCACACUUCGCAGAGCCCCAUAUGACAAGCUGCAAUUGUCGUCCUGAUGGGAAGACGCUGGGCAGAACGAAGGGUGUGUUCUGCAGCCACAGGACCAGGCCGGCAGCUCCAGGUGGUGUCAGGUUGGCAGAGUGCCCCCUCCCUGUCUGGGCUCCAG